AAGCACCGGCUAACUACGUGCCAGCAGCCGCGGUAAUACGUAGGGGUGCGAGCGUUAAUCGGGAAUUACUGGGCGUAAAGCGUGCGCAGGCGGUUUGGUAAGUCAGAUGUGAAAUCCCCCGGGGCUCAACCUGGGGAACUGCAUUUGAGACUGCCAAGCUGGAGUUUGGCAGAGGGGGGGUGGAAUUCCACGUGUAGCAGUGAAAUGCGUAGAGAUGUGGAGGAACACCGAUGGCGAAGGCAGCCCCCUGGGCCAAUACUGACGCUCAUGCACGAAAGCGUGGGGAGCAAACAGGAUUAGAUACCCUGGUAGUCCACGCCCUAAACGAUGUCAACUAGGUGUUGGGAGGGUUAAACCUUUUAGUGCCGUAGCUAACGCGUGAAGUUGACCGCCUGGGGAGUACGGCCGCAAGGCUAAAACUCAAAGGAAUUGACGGGGGA
rnacentral:rRNA from 1 species